rnacentral:lncRNA from 1 species
CACUCACUCACAUUCUGAGCAUUUUGGGAACCACACUUGCCACAUCCUGUCUUCAAACCCUUCUCAUGCAGCCCUUUCUACCUCAGCCUCUAGCUAUCACCGUGACAGUGAGAACAACCAAGAGGAGGGUCUCUAAAGGGGAACCCAUAUAUCUCAUCUCAAGCCCCCCAUCUAAACUAUCUUACAUCUGUUAGAAGUCACACAGGAAACAGAAGCCUUCAGUAUGCACCAUGGAGACAGGUGCAAUAACAGCUCUGACCUCAUUAGGGUUCCCAUGGCUCCCACAUCACCGCUCUUCCCACUUCUCUUUCCACUUAACCCCAACUCCAGUCACCCUCUCUUCACAAGUAUCCUCCAUUUCCUUCAACUAAUGUAAUGAGAGCCCAUUCAUGUAAUGAGUCACAGGAACAGAGUCUAAAUAAUAAACCGAAUGAAAAAUAGAUGGUCUGUCUGUCCUGCAUUCAUUGGCUGGCUUUCGCUGGGGUGUAUCCUCUGUGAGUAAGGGCUGUAAAGUGAAUGUGCUUUGUAUUUCCUGCCUCAUGUGGGUAAGAUGAGGGAAACGUCUACACACAACACAGGAAAGAAUGGAAAACCAGACCUCCAGAAACUCUCAAA